rfam:Aedes aegypti strain Liverpool supercont1.351 genomic scaffold, whole genome shotgun sequence.
CAAUCGGCCCUUUUUAGAGCCAACAAUUGUGUUUUAAAGAGUUAAU